GCUCCCAAAAAUCCCCCAGCCCUCACCCCAGCAUUUGGUGCUGCGUUGCUGAGUCCUGGCCUCACUGCAGGUGCUGGCACCUGACCCGCUGAUUGCAGUGGCCCUUUCCACACAGCCUUGGGGAUAUUUUGCAGCCCCAGACAGCACUGGAAACGGCUGGCAAACCAGCAACCCGGUGAGCAGAGCUGUGCAGGGGAGGGCAGCACAGGGAAGCAAGGCAGGAGGCUGCUCCUUUCAUUCCUCCCCUCUGCCUUGCAGAUGGACAGCCCAACACAAAUGGCUCCAGAUGACACAAAGCCCUGGAGCUCAGCCCUCCAAACUGGUGUCCUACAAAGAAAGUGCUGGCACCACACCACCUGACUGCAGUGGCCGUGUCAACGUGGCAUUGCUGACACAGUGAGCCCUAAAAGCAUAAGGAAACCAUUUUCAGAGCAGCAACCCGGUGAGCAGGGCUGUGCAGGGGAGGGCAGCACAGGGAAGCAGGGCAGGAGGCUGCUCCUUUCUUCCUUCCUCCCCUUCUCACUUGCAGAUGCACAGCCCAACAGCUCUCACCACCUUCACUACUGCACACAUCAGCGCCUCCAGGAACCACAUGGAUUGUGUGAAACACAGCUCUGAAGACGAGGACGGAACAAGAGGCCAACAGGGAUGGAUGGGCCCAAUUCAGAAACACCACAGACACCACACCCAGAAGAGAAGGAAGCACCGGAACCCAGCGCUGCUGAGACCCGCAUGGAAGUUGAGGAGCCACGAAGACUGGCAGCCUUCCUGCCUCCACCCCCAGACGACCAGCGAGAAGCCAGCACACAAUUAAAGACUAAUUGAACAACCUUCAGAAUAAACUUUCUCAUUCCUUA